rnacentral:rRNA from 1 species
UACGUAGGGGGCAAGCGUUGUCCGGAAUCACUGGGCGUAAAGCGCACGUAGGCGGAUCUUUAAGUCAGGGGUGAAAUCCUGGAGCUCAACUCCAGAACUGCCUUUGAUACUGGGGAUCUCGAGUCCGGAAGAGGUGAGUGGAACUCCGAGUGUAGAGGUGAAAUUCGUAGAUAUUCGGAAGAACACCAGUGGCGAAGGCGGCUCACUGGUCCGGUACUGACGCUGAGGUGCGAAAGCGUGGGGAGCGAUCCGG